AUCACGGCUCAGAGCCUCACAGUGAAAGCGACACAUGAUCUGGAUGUUCAGUAGACUUCUCUCUCUCUGCUGUGGGACUGAAGCGGUUUUGCUGGUACCUGUUCUUCAGGAUGGAUCCUGCUCUUCUGAGCACGAGUGAGAUGAACUGAAAAACCUUCCAGA